rnacentral:tRNA from 2 species
GGCCAAGUGGCGGAAUGGCAGACGCACCCGACUCAAAAUCGGGCGGGGAAACCCGUGUGGGUUCGACUCCCACCUUGGCCA